AAAUAACUAGCUCAGUCGGUAAAAUGUGAGACUCUUAAUCUCAGGGUCGUGGGUUCGAACCCUACGUUGAGUG
rnacentral:tRNA from 1 species